UUUUACCUCUUUUCCGCAUUUUAUCGCUUUCUUAGCUGGAAGACCUCGAUAGGAGGCAUUUGUUUUCUUUUGUUUAUUUACUUCUGAGCCCCUUGUUGGCACAUUUACUUUAUACAUGUUUGUUUUGUAUGUGUUCGUAUCCCUGCAGGUAGCGCAGUUCCUUCGUCAAGGACUUCCUUUUUGCCCUUGAGCAUCCCAAACCCUAAAACCCAAAGCA
rnacentral:lncRNA from 1 species